rnacentral:rRNA from 1 species
UACAGAGGGUGCGAGCGUUGUCCGGAAUCACUGGGCGUAAAGGGCGCGUAGGUGGCCCGACAAGUCCGUGGUGAAAGCUCGACGCUCAACGUCGAGUCGGCCAUGGAUACUGUUGGCUGGAGCACUGUAGAGGCUCAUGGAAUUCCGGGUGUAGCGGUGGAAUGCGUAGAGAUCCGGAAGAACACCGGUGGCGAAGGCGGUGAGCUGGGCAGUUGCUGACACUGAGGCGCGACAGCGUGGGGAGCAAACAGG